ACCAGCAAUCCCCAACCUGUUUGGCACCAGGGACCGGUUUCAUGGAAGACAAUUUUUCCAUGGACUGGGGAUGCUGGUGGAGAGGGAUACU